UGAUCUCGGGCGGGCUCGAACCGUCGACCUUCUGUCAUUCGAUACAUUACAUUAAAAAACCAUUACACCACGAGAUC